UUUCAGGACUGUUUAUGUCCUUCUUUUUCACUCUUUCUCCUAUUUUUCAAAAAUAUAUGAGUCUGAAGUUUUGAUCACAACCUAGGGGCUGACUCACCAAUGCUAUAUGAGACCAAUCUUUCCAAAUUAUUAAGUCAUGUUUUGCUUUACUUUUUCCAUAUAGCAUAAACCAGAACGCCACUCAGAGGAGUAUGUUAAGUUCUUCUGUAGACCAAGACAUCCUGACUGCUACUUUUUUGAUACCUGGAUACACAGCUCAUGUGUCUGGUUGCUCCUAUGAAUAUCCAGGCUGAGCAGCCUAAAAACUGUUGCUAGUCAAAUACAAUGGAACCACAUAUUUUAUUUGGAACAGUUUUCAUAAUAUUUGGAACAGCGAUCAUAGAUGUGGACCCCCCCAAAAAAGCAACAAUAUUGAAUCACCAUAAGAGAAUGCUGUCUUUCUUUUGCAUCCCAUUAAGUGUAAUUAGAACUCAGGCUCAUCUCAGGCUUUCAGGAAGUUUUCCUGAAAAGGAAACAGAACUACAAACAACCCAUCCACCAGACUACACAGAGCCACAAGGACCACUUCAAUGAAGUCAAGU
rnacentral:lncRNA from 1 species